rnacentral:rRNA from 1 species
AGAGCGAACGCUGGCGGCAGGCUUAACACAUGCAAGUCGAGCGGGCGUAGCAAUACGUCAGCGGCAGACGGGUGAGUAACGCGUGGGAACAUACCUUUUGGUUCGGAACAACACAGGGAAACUUGUGCUAAUACCGGAUAAGCCCUUACGGGGAAAGAUUUAUCGCCGAAAGAUUGGCCCGCGUCUGAUUAGCUAGUUGGUGAGGUAACGGCUCACCAAGGCGACGAUCAGUAGCUGGUCUGAGAGGAUGAUCAGCCACAUUGGGACUGAGACACGGCCCAAACUCCUACGGGAGGCAGCAGUGGGAAUAUUGGACAAUGGGCGCAAGCCUGAUCCAGCCAUGCCGCGUGAGUGAUGAAGGCCCUAGGGUUGUAAAGCUCUUUUGUGCGGGAAGAUAAUGACGGUACCGCAAGAAUAACGCCCCGGCUAACUUCGUGCCAGCAGCCGC